GGUUAUGUAGUUUAAUUUGGUUAAAAUACUUCCACGUAAAAGGAUAUUGGGAGAUGAUGUGAGUUCAAGUCUCAUCGUAGCCGCCA
rnacentral:tRNA from 5 species